AUGAAGGGGAGGAGAGGACGGAUGUUUAAGCAAUUUGAACAGCCGACUGAGUCUUCUCUUCCCUGCUACAGACUGUCUCACCUUUCUCUUCUCUGCUACAGACUCUCCUUUCUCUUCUCUGUCUCUCCUUUCUCUUCCCUGCUACAGACUCUCCUUUCUCUUCCCUACUACAGACUGUUUCUCCUUUCUCUUCCCUGCUACAGACUGUAUCUCCCUUCUCUUCCCUGCUACAGACUGUUCUCUCCUUUCUCUUCCCUGCUACAGACUGUCUCUCCUUUCUCUUCCCUGCUACAGACUGUCUCUCCUUUCUCUUCCCUGCUACAGAUGGUCUCUCCUUUCUCUUCCCUACUACCGACGGUAUCUCCUUUCUUUCCCUGUUACCGACUGUCUCUCCUUUCUCUUCCCUACUACAGACUGUCUCUCCUUUCUCUUCCCUACUACGACUGUCUCUCCUUUCUUUCCCUGCUACUGUCUCUCCUUUCUCUUCCUACUACAGACGUCUCUCCUUUCUCUUCCCUGCUACAGACUGUCUCUCCUUUCUUUCCCUACUACCGACUGUCUCUCCCUUUCUUCUUACUGCUACAGACUGUCUACUCCUUUCUCUCCCUACUACAGACUGUCUCUC
rnacentral:lncRNA from 1 species